rnacentral:lncRNA from 1 species
GGAGAGCUGCGCCCUGCGGUCCCCACCCGGCCUCUCCCCGGGGGUGUGGCCGCCGUCUGUUCGGUCACAGCCAGGCUGCGGCCUAAGGUGUGCCUGGGAUUGUUGCAUUUUUUAGGGGGUUGGAGUGGGUAGGGGCCCUCUGCUGCCUCAUGACUGCAAGGCUGAGGUGAACCUCUGGCCUUCCAGUUGAGGUACAGGGGUCCUUUGCUGGCCCCAGAUGUGGACAGUAUCCUCUCGAAUGCCCACCACUGGGAACCCUUAAGUCCCUCAAGGACAUGGGGAUUGCCACUUGCCUGCCUUUCUCACAGGGCUCUUAUAAGCAUCAAAUGGGAUGAUAACUGUGAAGACUCCUAGCGCAGUGGGUCUCAAACCUGGCUCCUGACAGAGAUCACCUGGAAUCUUCUAAAAAUCCCUCUGGGUUGCACUCCACACCUGUUACCUUAGAGCUUCUAGGGGUGAGGCCCAGGCAUCAGUGUUUUUCAAGCUCCCCAGGUGGUACAGCCAGAGCCGAGAUCCACUGCCCAGGGUCACAUACUUGUCCAGAUUUAGUACUCGGGACCAUAGGCAUUCGUAAAAUGGGCAUGUGCAGGAGAGGGAUGGCUUAAAGACAGAGCCUAGAAACAUAGAAUGGAGCUAUGCACUUUGGACGACAGUGAAUUCUGGAACCAGUGAGACUUAGACCUAGGUUCAAAUCCCAGCACUGCUACUUCUGGCUGUGGAACCUUGGGCAGACAACUUAACCUUUCUGAGCCUCAGUUUUCUUAACCUUUUAAUGAGGAUAUUAAUUAUAACUACUUCAUAACUUUGUGAAACACCUGGUAUAUAGUCACAAUAUUGAUGCUUUUUGGGGGUGGGGGGGUGCGGGCAGGGGCUAAGGUAUAGAAGCUGAUAGUGAUUCUCUUCUUGAUGGAACUUAGCCAGGCUCCUAUGAGCCCUCUUCUCAACUAGGCUUCAGUCUUGGCCUAUAAAGACUGAACAGACAGCAACACAGUUUCUAAUAAUUCAACGUCACAUCCUUAAGAUCACCAGUUCCCAGGCUUUUUGGCACCAGAGACCAGUUUCAUGGAAGACGAUUUUGUCACGGACAGGGUGGUGGGGGUGGGCAAUAAUUCUAUGAUGAAGGCCUGGCGUGGUGGCUCACACCUGUAAUCCCAGCACUUUGGGACGCCGAGGUGGGCAGAUCACUUGAGGCCACGAGUUCAAGACCAGUCUGGCCAACUUGGUGAAACUCCAUCUCUACUAAAAAUACAAAAAUUAGCCAGGGAUGGUGGUGCUCGCCUGUAAUCCCAGCUACUCAGGAGGCUGAGGCACAAGAAUCGCUUGAACCCGGGAGGCAGAGGCUGCAGUGAGCUGAGAUCACACCACUGCACUCCAGCCUGGGUGACAGAGCAAGACUCUGUCUCAAAAAAUAAAAAAUAAAUAACAAUAGGAUUGUCUAGUAAAAUCAGAUAUUUUUGGCCAGGUGUGGUGGCUCAGGCCUGUAAUCCCAGCACUUUGGGAGGUCGAAGUGGGCAGAUCACUUGAGCUCAAGAGUUUGAGACCAGCCUGGCCAACAUGGUGAAACCCCGUCUCUACUAAAAAUACAAAAAUUAGCCAGGUGUGGUGGCACGUGCCUGUAAUCCCAGCUACUCAGGAGGCUGAAAUAGGAGAAUCACUUAAACCCGGGAGGCAGAGGUUGCAGUGAGCUGAGACUGUGCUACUGCAUGCCAGCCUGGGCAACAGAGAAAGACUCUAUCUCAAAAAAGAAAAAAAAAUGGAGGAUGAAACUGUUCCACCUUAGAUCAUCAGGCGUUAGAUUCUUAUAAGGAGCAUGCAACCUAGAUCCCCCGCAUGCACAGUUCACAGCAGAUUUCAAGCUCCUGUGAGAAUCUAAUGCCACUGCUUGGUUCCUGACAGGCCACAGACCAGUACUGGUCCGCAGCCUAGGAGUUGGGGGCCCCUACCUAAGGUGACCCUGGCCCCACUACCCCCUCUUAAAGUGCCUGCCUGAGAAAACUCAAGGCUGCCAAAAUAUUUACUGUGUUUUUGUUUCAUCCAACACCUGAGGAUAGAGCUUCUGUCUCCCAGUCUCUUUGGGAGAACGGCAUCCUAACUUUGGCAAUUGGCAGCUAGCAGACACAGCUGGCCUAAUGUCACUUACACUGACCAACCCUUUGUCAUUUUUCACUUCCCUGAUUCUGUUAAACUGCUGCUUGUCCUUCUCCCUAUUCCCUCAUGUUCUUUUCAAAAUGCCCAAUUACUUUUCGUACAAAUCGAUAUUGAGCUCAGUUCAUACUAGAUUGUUUUCCCUAUUGCAAUAGUUAUGACUGAUUAAAUUCUGUCCUUACAAUUUUAACUACUGUUCAGCUUUGUUUAUCUUAGACAAAGCCUCUGACAAUCUAGUAGAUUAUUUCCCAGAAUUAUGCUUGGGAGGAUUGGAGGCAUUACACAGACAUUUCUUAUUUUGUCAGUUAUGUGUUUAUUUUCAUGAUGACCUUUUCAUUACUGCAACUUUUAUUAAAAGUGACACUGACUUUCCACUCACAGUAAGCAAUGUAUGGUUUCCUUUUUAUAUUCUUUUAAAAAAGAGUAGAUAAAUAGUAAGUGUAUGAUAGUACCUGUAGUACAAGAAUAAAGCAACAGUGGUGAUACUUGAAUGACAGAAAUUUGGGAAAUGCUGAUCCAGUUCUACCAUCUCAUUCUACAGUUGGGGAGACUUUUAGACAAAGAAGCCACAUUAUACAGAACAGCCAUUGUCCCUUGAUGCAGUGUGGGGCUUCCUUUCUGACCCAGUGUAGAAGGAGAGUCAAAGCAAGCACGGAAGUAGGUUUUACCCAAGGAAUGCUGGGAUGGGGUCUUCAAGGAGUCUUCUGAGAGGGAGAAGCCACACCUACCUGGGGAGGGGGGUCAGGAAGGACUUCAUGGACGAGGGACAUGUGCCAUAGACCAGGAAGUUAGAGCUCCCUUUAGCAGCAGGGAAAGGGAGGGCAGCCAUGCUGAACGGACAGCAGGAUAAAGGCAGAGAGCACAGAUGGAUGAAGGCUCUGAAUUGGAAGGGAAGCAGGGACAGGUGUGCUAGAGCCUUGAAUGCCUUGAGGAGCAGUUUGCUGCUCUCCUGGGCCCUGGGGAGCCAUUGAAGGUUUCAGAGCAGGACCUGCGUUCUGAGAGGUGUAACUAGCAGCAGACCCCGGGGGCUGGGUGGAUCUGGACCUCCUGGGAGAGGCCCAAGCUGGGCAUGCCGGUUUGUAGAGGCAAGCCCAGAGAGAGGGCAUAGAAGGAGAAAGAGAGCUCCAAGGAAAAGCGUUGGGGAGCGCCUGUCUUUAGGAAGUGGAAGGAGCAACAGCCAUCGGAGAAGCAAGAGGAGAACCCAGAAAGCAGAGAGGACCAAAAUCAUGCAAGGCCAGAGCAGCGAGGGGUAGAGGAGACAGUGCCUGGGUGGCAGAGAGGCUGGGAAUGGGGGGGACCAGUACUUCAAGGGGAGGACAUUAAUUUAUUGGCCCCCGAAACAGCAGUUGUCAUUUCAGGCCAUUGUUUUAAUAUUGGGAGGGAUUUCCACUUGGAGAGGCCUUGCCCCUCACUGGCUGUGUGACCCUGGGCAAAUUAGCUUUCUCUGAACAUCCAUUUCCUCCUUUGCAAAAUGGGGAUAAGAACAUCUGCUUCACAGAAUUAUUGUACAGAUGAAUGGAGACAAUGUGUAAAGGGCUUACCAUGUGCAGAAAGCACGUGUUCUCACGAUGAAAUUUAUUGAUUUCAUCACAACAGGAUUUGUGCACAGCAGCUAUGUGUCUGGCUCUGUGCUGGGAACCAACAAUACAGCACUAGAUUAAGGUUAUGCCUGUCCUCGAGGAGCUCAGAGACUAGCUGCACCUCAACAUCUGACUCCAACCACUUUGGGUGACCCCUAGCACGGGCUGAUUUUGCUAGCAUUCCAACCCAUAGAAUUUUCUAAGAACUCACACUGAAGUAGUUAACCGUUGCCACCUUGCUUGAACAAUAAAACCUGAGCCCCUGGCUACAUUCCUGUGGGUUAGGGCCUGGUCUCUGAGAAGUCACUUCUUCCUGGAACUUGGCCUUUACCCAGAGUUGCUGUCACCAGAGGUUGGGGCUGCCUCUGUUUGGGGAGAAAAAAACUAAGAAAGUGAGGGAGUGGUCAUCCUGCCACAUAUUUGGGCUUUAGAGACAAAAUUCUGAGGUUUUCUCAUCAGGGCACCCAUCUUUUGAGGUCCCAGAGUCCAGAGAGAAGACAUCCCUCCAUCCUUCCAACAGAUAUGUAAAGUGCCUUUUGUGUCCAGUGUUGCAAGAGGCUUUGGAGCACACCGGGGAACAGAUCCUGUCUCCCCCACACAGAGGACAAGAAAAAAUCUAGAAAUAAAGCUCUAACUGUAGGAGCAAAGGAAAAGUGUCCUUUUGAAUUCUGGGUGGUCAGAAGGAGGAGAUGACCUUCGCAUGAAUCCUGGAGGUUGAGAAGGAGCCAGGCGUGCAGGACUCGGGUUAGGGAGUUCUAGGCACAGGCAACAGCACGUGUGAAGGCCGCAAGGUGUGAAGAACCAGAAAGGAACCAGUGUUUCUGGAACAGUGAUGGAGAGGGGGCAUGGCCUUCAGGGCAGAGUGGGAUUUUAUCCUUAGGGCAGCAAAGGUGGGGGGUGUACUUUAAAAUUUUUGUUGUAUAUUUAUUUCAUAAAUUUUAUUUUUUUAACUUUAUUUCA